rnacentral:misc_RNA from 1 species
GCUUGUUAUUCCCCAAUUGCAGACCGGAUUAUAUAGAUAAUCUUAGAUGUACGUUUAACAUAGUAUUUACAGAUUCCAUUGAAAAGCAUUUCUGGAUAAGUUUCUCAUUGAUGGAUUUUUCAAGCUUUUGCAAAGUGAUACAGCUACAAACUUCUUAAGUGACUUGAUUAUGUUUUGGUGAUGAGGUUUCAUCUUUUUAUUUUGUUCAGCUUUGAUUAGCUAAGUUUAGUUUUCGUGCAUUUUUUUUUAUCUUUAGUUUAACACAGUAGCAAAGUUGAGAGA